AGCAGUGUGGCAUAGUGGUAAGGAGUAGGGCUCAUCACCGAAAGGUUGCUGGUUCGAUUUCCCCCUGAGCCACUGCUG